rnacentral:rRNA from 1 species
AUUGAACGCUGGCGGCAGGCCUAACACAUGCAAGUCGAACGAGUGGCGGACGGGUGAGUAAUGUCUGGGAAACUGCAUGAUGGAGGGGGAUAACUACUGGGAACGGUAGCUAAUACCGCCUACCAUCGGAUGUGCCCAGAUGGGAUUAGCUAGUAGGUGGGGUAAAGGCUCAACUCGGCGACGAUCCCUAGCUGGUCUGAGAGGAUGACCAGCCACACUGGAACUGAGAGACGGUCCAGACUCCUACGUGAGACAGAAGUGGUGAAUAUUGCACAAUGAGCGCAAGCCUUAUGCAGCCAUGCCGCUUGUAUUAAGAAGGCCUUCGGGUUGUAAAGUACUUUCAGCGGGGAGUCGUUACCCGCAGAAGAAGCACCGGCUAACUCCGUGCCAGCAGCCGCGGUAAUUC